UACAAUGAUGAAAACCCUUUAUACACAGACCUGUUCCGAAACAAUUAUGUGGAUAAAAGAUGUUGCCUUCCUUCUGAAA
rnacentral:ncRNA from 16 species